rnacentral:rRNA from 1 species
GGCUUAGAAGCAGCCAUCGUUUAAAGAAAGCGUAAUAGCUCACUGGUCUAAUGACUCUGCGCCGAAAAUGUAACGGGGCUAAGCAUGGUACCGAAGCUUCGGAUUCCUCUUUUGAGGAGUGGUAGGGGAGCGUUCUCUAUGGGCAGAAGCUGCAUUGUAAAGUGCGGUGGACGGUAGAGAAGUGAUUAUGCUGACAUGAGUAACGAUAAAACAGGUGAAAAACCUGUUCGCCGAAAACCCAAGGUUUCCUGGGUAAAGUUAAUCUUCCCAGGGUGAGUCGGACCCUAAGGCGAGGGCGAAAGCCGUAGCUGAUGGAAAACGGGUUAAUAUUCCCGUACUUCUUAUGGUGUGCGAUGGAGGGACGCAGAAAGAUAGGUGGGCCAACUGUUGGAUGUUGGUGCAAGCUGGUAGGAAUGCCUCGCCGGCAAAUCCGCGAGGUGAAUCCGAGAAGCGAGUCCGUGGGCGCAAGCCCUGAAGCCAUUGAGUCUCCGCUGCCAAGAAAAGCUCCUAAGUUUAGCCAUGAGGAUCCGUACUGCAAACCAACUCAGGUGGGUGGGAUGAAUAAUCCAAGGCGCUCGAGAGAACUCUGGCCAAGGAACUCGGCAAAAUAACCCCGUAACUUCGGAAGAAGGGGUGCUCUCUAGGGUGACAUGUUUAACAUAUGAAGCCCCGGGGAGCCGCAGUGAAUUGGUGGUGGCGACUGUUUACUAAAAACAUAGGUCUGUGCGAAGUCGCAAGACGACGUAUACGGACUGACGCCUGCCCGGUGCCGGAAGGUUAAGAGGAGAGGUCAGCGCAAGCGAAGCCUUGAAUCGAAGCCCCGGUAAACGGCGGCCGUAACUAUAACGGUCCUAAGGUAGCGAAAUUCCUUGUCGGGUAAGUUCCGACCUGCACGAAUGGCGUAACGAUCUCCACACUGUCUCGGCCAGAGACUCGGUGAAAUUGAAGUCGCGGUGAAAAUGCCGUGUACCCGCAGAAAGACGGAAAGACCCUGUGCACCUUUACUAUAGCUUGACAUUGGAUUUUGGGCCUACAUGUGUAGGAUAGGUGGGAGGCAAUGAAAUCUGUACGCCAGUAUGGAUGGAGCCACUGUUGAAAUACCACCCUUGUAUGUCUAAGGUCCUAACUCCACGCAGUGAACCUGCUGGAAGACAUUGUCUGGUGGGUAGUUUGACUGGGGCGGUCGCCUCCCAAAGAGUAACGGAGGCAUGCAAAGGUUCCCUCAGGCUGUUCGGAAACCAGCCGUUGAGUGCAAACGCAUAAGGGAGCUUGACUGCAAGAGAGACAUCUCGAGCAGGUACGAAAGUAGGCGUUAGUGAUCCGGUGGUCCCGCAUGGAAGGGCCAUCGCUCAUUGGAUAAAAGGUACGCCGGGGAUAACAGGCUGAUC